rnacentral:rRNA from 1 species
CGGCGGACGGGUGAGUAACGCGUGGGUAACCUGCCUCAUACAGGGGGAUAACGGUUAGAAAUGGCUGCUAAUACCGCAUAAGACCACAGUACUGCAUGGUACAGUGGUAAAAACUCCGGUGGUAUGAGAUGGACCCGCGUCUGAUUAGGUAGUUGGUGAGGUAACGGCCCACCAAGCCGACGAUCAGUAGCCGACCUGAGAGGGUGACCGGCCACAUUGGGACUGAGACACGGCCCAG